GAUGAAUAAUUUUUUGGGCCAAUUUAAAAUUAAAUUUGUGAAAAUAUAUAUUAUUUUUUAAAGUUAUGAAACGUUCAACAAAGUCAUUAAAAAAAAAAUCUCAACUACUUCCAGUGUUGUCACAUAUUCACAGGUUGUUUCAAAAGGGUAAAAUGUAUUUGUUUUGCAUGUUGGAUUCAAAUUUCAUGUUUUAACAUUGUUGUUGACACUUUAUCUACUGCUGAAUCAUAAUAAUAUCACUAACUGUAUACUGCCAAGUUGAACUUGUUCCAGUUUUUAAAAAUAUCAUUAAUCCCAUCACCUAGAUUGUAGUAUUGAAAUCCUACUUCCCACUUCAGGAAACUAAGGAUUCUUGGAGGAAUAGCUGAUUCCAGGUUCCAAGGCAGGAAAUGCAAAAAACAGCCAACUUUCCCCAAAUUCAGGGAAGCCAUUGGGGACCACCUGGGCUAGGGACCACCAGGAGCCAAUUUAAAGAGGCCACCUCAAUAGUAAAGGAUGAGACAAUUUGAGGUUUUUUUUUAACUUAUUUAUUUUUAAUUGAAGGAUAAUUACUUUACAGUAUUGUCUUGGUUUCUACCAAACAUCAACACAAAUCAGCAAUAGGUUUACCCAGGGACAAUGUGAGUUUUAAUAAAGAUUUUAAUUACCAUAGAGUGAACUCAUCAAAUGUAUUUAAAUCCUUAAAUUCAUAAUUUUAAAAAAUAAUUGGUCAUUUUGGGAAGAUAAUAGAGAAUCCAUUCACUGUCUUGAAAACUAGUUUAGAAAAAGGAGGAAUCAAGCGUUUAGUCUGUCUUUCCCACAUGAAGUGUUGGGUAACAAAUAGGAGAUGAAAAGCAUCUUUGUACACAGUAUUCCAGUAAAUACAUAAAAAGAUCUGAUAGAAUUAUAAUAUCACCAGUUUGCAACACAACGUGAAAUACAGAUUGAAGCAUUGAGCAGCUGUCAGAAGAGGCAAAGUCAGACAUGACGUGCCUUCUGAUGAAACAAUUCUUCGCUACCUAUAGUCUUGCCAAAGAUCUCAAAUUUGAGAUUGAUCAUGGCUCUGGACUCAGCUGCUAAUUUGCAGGAAGUAGAAGGGGCAGAGAAGCUUGGUGAACUGCACUGUGCAUAUGCAACCAACAAAAUCCAGACUGAGGGAAAGAAGACAAGUUAAAGAGCCCGUGUUUUUUUAAAGAGAAACAAUGAGUGGGA
rnacentral:lncRNA from 1 species